rnacentral:rRNA from 1 species
GUCUACGGCCAUGCUAUCCCGAACACGCCCGACCUCGUCUGAUCUCAGAAGCUAAGCAGGGUUGGGCCUAGUUAGUGCUUGGAUGGGAGACCGCCUAGGAAGACCAGAUGCUGUUGGUG